AUUGAACGCUGGCGGCAUGCCUUACACAUGCAAGUCGAACGGUAGAGGGGCAACCCUUGAGAGUGGCGAACGGGUGAGUAAUGCAUCGGAACGUGCCCAGUAGUGGGGGAUAGCCCGGCGAAAGCCGGAUUAAUACCGCAUGAGACCUGAGGGUGAAAGCGGGGGAUCGCAAGACCUCGCGCUAUUGGAGCGGCCGAUGUCAGAUUAGCUAGUUGGUGGGGUAAAGGCCUACCAAGGCGACGAUCUGUAGCUGGUCUGAGAGGACGACCAGCCACACUGGGACUGAGACACGGCCCAGACUCCUACGGGAGGCAGCAGUGGGGAAUUUUGGACAAUGGGCGCAAGCCUGAUCCAGCCAAGCCGCGUGCGGGAAGAAGGCCUUCGGGUUGUAAACCGCUUUUGUCAGGGAAGAAAUCUUCUGGGCUAAUACCCUGGGAGGAUGACGGUACCUGAAGAAUAAGCACCGGCUAACUACGUGCCAGCAGCCGCCGUAAUAC
rnacentral:rRNA from 1 species